GUCGGAAAGCAACAGAAUUGUUAGCUAGACCACUCAGUUCUUAACCCUGUUUUUGUAGCUUGUGUCUUGGUGACUUCAUAGUGUCUUUGUGACUUAAUAAGUGUCUUGGUGACUUUCAGCUGACCGGGCUCGCAAGAUGAACAAUAAAACAAAAAUAUAAGCCAUCGUAAAAGACAAAACUGUGUUUGUAGUUUCAUGGCAGCUUUAAAAGAAGGAUGGAACUCAAGGCUUGCAAGGUGAACAGUAAAACAAAAAGAAUGCCAAUCCAAAAAGACAAAAUUGUGCUUGUAGUUCCAUGGCUUUUGAAGAAGGUUGAAU